CCUACGGGUGGCAGCAGUGAGGGAUAUUGGUCAAUGGACGCAAGUCUGAACCAGCCAAGCCGCGUGCAGGAAGACGGCUCUAUGAGUUGUAAACUGCUUUUGUACGGGGGUAAACGCAGACACGCGUACCUGUCUGAAAGUACUGUACGAAUAAGGAUCGGCUAACUCCGUGCCAGCAGCCGCGGUAAUACGGAGGAUUCAAGCGUUAUCCGGAUUUAUUGGGUUUAAAGGGUGCGUAGGCGGUCGGUUAAGUUAGGGGUGAAAUCCCGAGGCUCAACUGCGGAAUUGCCUUUGAUACUGUUCGGCUAGAGAGUAGUUGCGGUAGGCGGAAUGUAUGGUGUAGCGGUGAAAUGCUUAGAGAUCAUACAGAACACCGAUUGCGAAGGCAGCUUACCAAGC
rnacentral:rRNA from 1 species